rnacentral:rRNA from 1 species
AUGGAAAAAGCGAUACCAAAAAUUGGUUCAUGUAAGAAAGUGCGUAUUCGUUUAUGUAGGAAUGCACGUUUUAGUUUACGGAAGAGUGCACGUAGAAUAACAAAAGGGGUUAUUCAUGUUCAAGCUAGUUUCAACAAUACCAUUAUAACUGUUAUAGACCUACAAGGUCGGGUGGUUUUUUGA